UACGUAGGGGGCAAGCGUUGUCCGGAGUUACUGGGCGUAAAGCGCACGCAGGCGGUUGGGUCAGUGGCAGGUGACAGCUCUCGGCUUCACUGAGAGAGUGCCUGUUAGACGGCCCGGCUUGAGGGCCAGAGAGGGACAUGGAACUCCGGGUGGAGUGGUGAAAUGCGUAGAGAUCCGGAAGAACACCAAAGGCGAAGGCAGUGUCCUGGCUGGUACCUGACGCUCAGGUGCGAAAGCGAGGGGAGCGAACGGG
rnacentral:rRNA from 1 species